rnacentral:lncRNA from 1 species
AUCACACUCUGAGACAACUAAAUUGGAUGCCCUCCCGAAACGGGCCAAAUGCCCUUUCUGCCCAACCUCCAGGGCCAGCCCGGUCGGACAGCAGGCUGAGCAGCUCCCCAGAACUUCUUGGGAACGCCUCUUCUUUCCCACCUAGGUUGUGGACAAACCAGCCUCUGCGGCUGGCACUUCUCUCACAGAGAUGCCAUUUUGUCCCCUAUGAAACACUGUGAAUUGUAGUGCGAAUACAGACCUACCACCUAUGGAGCUAUGCAGUGCUGUUGUCCCUAUGACAGAAUAAAGGUGCUAAGUCAGUUCCAAAUUGUAAUUGCCCCUUUUAGGAGCACACAUUAAAUAAUUGGGUCUACUUGGAGUCUUGGGACAGGCCCAAAAUGUAGCCAAAGAAAUACUAUUUAUUGAUGCAAGGGGAAAUUCCAUAUAUGGGCAUGUUUAGCAAUUUCUGUCCAGGGAUGAUGUUGGACAACUACGUUCGCACCACAUGCACUGACUCUGAUUCUAUCCGCCUUCCCUCUGUCAGUAUUAUUUAUUGCUGCCAGCAUGGCUGGGGAAGUAGUCUAUGCCGAUCUCAACAUCUCUUCUGAACCACAUAGGUCAACCCUGCUCCAUCCAUCUCAGCAGUGCACUCUUCCCCAUUAUUCCCAUUGGCACCAGAUUGCUCUGUGGGUGGGGUACAUUGGGAAUGUCGUUCUCCUGGCAGCGGUGAUAUUUUUGGUUCUGCACUUGGAGAAUGGAAACCCUGAUGCAGAUGUAAGCGGAACAAAAUGUAAUAACACCUUAGAAGAUUUCCAAUCCCGUCUACUCAGGGAAAUCUGCAACCGAAGCCGGGAUAGC